AAGCGGGGGGCCCCGACGCUGGUGUUCAAGCUCGACUUCGCCAAAGCCUUCGACUCCAUUGCCUGGCCCAGCCUUCGACGGAUCAUGGAGGUUCGGGGGUUCCCGGCAGCUUGGUGUGAUUGGAUGGAUCUCAUUCUCAAGUCCUCGAAGGUUGUCGUCCUCCUGAAUGGGGUGCCUGGGAGGUGGUUCGCGGUCCGCAAGGGGCUGCGGCAGGGGGACCCUGUCUCACCAUACCUGUUCCUCCUGGUCGCCGACGUGCUCCAGCGCAUGAUCCGGGCGGACGGGGUUCUGCGACAUCUGCUAUGUGAGGGGGCGCCGCCUGUGGUGCUCCAGUACGUCGACGACACUCUGAUCAUAAUGCGCGCCUGCCCAGAGGGGGCGACUCGGCUGCGUGGCAUCCUUGACCUCUUCGCCUCCGCGACGGGCCUCGUCAUCAACUUCACCAAGAGCACUCUCGUCCCCAUGCAUGUUGCCCCGGAGGUGCUCGAGGCCGUAGUGGCUGCAUUCGAGUGCACGGUGGGCUCCUUCCCACAAACUUAUCCGGGGUUGCCGCUCUCCUGCGACAAGCUCAAGCUCGAAGAUUUUGCUCCCAUGCUCGCCAAGGUUGAUCGAUACUUGGCGGAGUGGCGGGCGAGGCUGCUAUCCCCGGCAGGACGCUUGGUGCUCAUCAACGCGGUCCUGGACUCCAUCCCCACUUAUGCCAUGGCUGCCAUGCGCCUUCCGCCGACCAUUAUCUCUAGGCUGGACGGGCUACGCCGGGCGUUCCUGGAAUGUUGCAGACCGGGCUUCUAG
rnacentral:rRNA from 1 species